rnacentral:rRNA from 1 species
UACGGAGGGUGCAAGCGUUAUCCGGAUUUAUUGGGUUUAAAGGGUGCGUAGGCGGCGAUUUAAGUCAGUGGUGAAAUGCUGCAGCUCAACUGUAGAACUGCCAUUGAAACUGAAUUGCUUGAGUGAUCUUGAAGUAGGCGGAAUGUGUAGUGUAGCGGUGAAAUGCUUAGAUAUUACACAGAACACCGAUUGCGAAGGCAGCUUACUAAGGGUUUACUGACGCUGAGGCACGAAAGCGUGGGGAUCAAACAGG